rnacentral:rRNA from 1 species
UGGGGAAUAUUGCACAAUGGGCGAAAGCCUGAUGCAGCGACGCCGCGUGGGGGAUGACGGCCUUCGGGUUGUAAACCUCUUUCAGUAGGGACGAAGCGCAAGUGACGGUACCUGCAGAAGAAGCACCGGCUAACUACGUGCCAGCAGCCGCGGUAAUACGUAGGGUGCGAGCGUUGUCCGGAAUUACUGGGCGUAAAGAGCUCGUAGGCGGUUUGUCACGUCGUCUGUGAAAUCCUAGGGCUUAACCCUGGACGUGCAGGCGAUACGGGCUGACUUGAGUACUACAGGGGAGACUGGAAUUUCUGGUGUAGCGGUGGAAUGCACAGAUAUCAGGAAGAACACCGAUGGCGAAGGCAGGUCUCUGGGUAGUAACUGACGCUGAGGAGCGAAAGCAUGGGUAGCGAACAGG